rfam:Oryza nivara chromosome 12, whole genome shotgun sequence.
AAUAAGUACAGUUUUGCCCUGUUCAUGUCUAACGUUUCAUCGUUCGUCUUAUUUUAAAAAAAAUAUGAUUAGUACUUUUAUUGUUAUUAGAUGAUAAAAUAUAAAUAGUAUUUUAUGUAUGACUAAUAUUUUUUAUUUUUUUUAUAAUUUUUUAAAUAAGACGGACGGUCAAAUGUUGGAUACGGAUACCCUUGUUUACACUUAUU